rnacentral:rRNA from 1 species
UGGCGGCGCGCUUAAACAUGCAAGUCGAGCGAGAAAGGGGCAACCUGAGUACAGCGGCGUACGGGUGAGUAACACGUGGGUGAUCUACCUCUUUGUGGGGAAUAACCCUGGGAAACCGGGGCUAAUACCGCAUAAGCCUGAGAAGGGAAAGCCGAAAGGCGCAGAGAGAGGAGCCCGCGGCCGAUUAGCUAGUUGGUGAGGUAACGGCUCACCAAGGCGACGAUCGGUAGCCGGCCUGAGAGGGCACACGGCCACACUGGCACUGAAACACGGGCCAGACUCCUACGGGAGGCAGCAGUGGGGAAUCUUGCACAAUGGAGGCAACUCUGAUGCAGCGACGCCGCGUGAGCGAUGAAGCCCUUCGGGGUGUAAAGCUCUUUCGGCAGGAACGAUAAUGACGGUACCUGAAGAAGAAGCUGCGGCUAACUACGUGCCAGCAGCCGCGGUAAUACGUANGCAGCGAGCGUUGUUCGGAAUUACUGGGCGUAAAGAGUGUGUACGCGGUGCUCUAAGUUCGGUGUGAAAUCUCCCGGCUUAACUGGGAGGGUGCGCCGGAAACUGGAGUGCUC